CUGGGAAAGGGUCCUGGCCUAGCUUUACAGUUUACAAAUCAUUUCACAAGCAGGCUCAUUUUAUCCUCCUGGCCUCCCUGUGAGGUGGGGAUUAUGAUAUUCAUUUGACUUAGGAGAAAACAGAGCCUCAGGAGGUUACCUGCCUGUCCAAGAUCUGAAUUUUAUGGGAGGCAGAGCUAGGACUGAAGCCGCUGACCACAACCGUGUCUUUAAGAAGACAAACUCCAGGCAGAUGGUUGUCAGACAGCUAGACAUGCCUAAACAAAAGCAGCUGUGAUAACAGCUUUCUCUGUGGUGUUUGGGGAGAAGACACUUGUCUCUAACGGCCCUUAGAACAGGAUUUGUUCCUGACCUCUGACUUCCAGAGCCACCCAGCCUCUCUCAUGGUCUGCUUUGUGGCCCAGGGCCUGCAGGGAUUAGAAGACAUGUGGGGUCAAGGAACAGGAAGCUGACCUGGAUGGAAGUUGAACAGUGAUCUUUGCUCUCUGCCUGGCUCCUGAGUCCUCUGCCAUGUUCCUGGAGAAGAGGAGCCAGCCAGGCCCUCAUCUCACUCUCCCAGAGCCCCAGAGCACACCAAUGGACACCAUCACCUCUCGGGCAGAUCAGCACAGAGACGUGAAGCACACAGGCAGCUGCUGGAAAAAUAACAAGGAAUUGCAAUGGUGUGCCCCUCCGUUGAAUGCAAGCUCUCUUCUGCCUUCUCACCUUGGGCAAGUUACCUUCCGUUCCAGGCCUCGGUUUCUCCAUGUGUGAAAUGAAAGGGCUGGAGAGAAAUCUCUCACUAUUCCCCAAUCUACAUUCAUUGUAUCCCAAACCUUCUAAUAUCUGUUCAACGAAGUGUACCAAAUCUCAGCUAUUGGACUGAGACUCAGGGGUCUAUCUGACUUGAAUUGAAAAUGCAAAUUACUGAAGAGGGAGGGAGGGAGGAGUGCUGAAGAUUGAAUGGAUUUAUCAGAUUUCCUUCUCCUAUGGCCCAGAUGCAGGCCUAGUCCAGGCGAUUCCCCUGGCUCAGAAUCUGCCAGGCUCAAGCAUUCAUUGACAGCCUACUAUGUACCAAUCCUGGGCUGAGUCCCAACCCGGGGAUGACUUAGAGGAGGCCAGGAUGUGGCCUCAUGUUCUGGUUGCUCUCACAUUUAAACAGGCUAAACCCACUUUGCAUUGUAUGUUAGGGGUGGUGCUUGUGGGACAAAGGGGGCUGUCAGAACAUUCUGGCUGCCACAUGAAGUUGACUUUGCCAGGACAGACUGGGUUGUGGGGGAAGGCAGCUACUGUAAUAAUUUGGCCAAGAAGUGGGCUGAGCAGGAGCAGGGCUGAGGGAGGGAGAGAGGGAAUGAGUAAGAAAGGCCCAGGGUACUGAUUUGACUGGGACUUCAGGGACAGGUGUGGGGCGAGAGGGAUGCUGGAAGUGAAGGAGGGAAAGUGCAGAGGCUUUCUGGGGAUUAAUAGGCAAUGAUCUCUAUGAGGGCGUGGUGAGUAGGCCCCAAACAUCCGGGGACUUCCCUGCCUGCCAUCCCUCUGUCUCUCUCUUCCUUUCCUACUGCCCAGGGCCUGGCCCUGCUGCACAUGCCCUGCCCUGGCCCCCAGAGUCCCCUUCUUUCCUGGCUGGGAGAUUAAGACUCUGCUGUGCCUACAGCAUUCUCAACCUCAAGUCAAGGUGGCCCUUUGGAGCCCAGGAGGCCACAUGGCUGAGUCAGGGCUGAGUCACCACCCCCCAAGGGCCUUGCCAUUUCCU
rnacentral:lncRNA from 1 species